rnacentral:rRNA from 1 species
CAGUAGCCGCGGUAAAACGAAGGGGGCUAGCGUUGUUCGGAUUUACUGGGCGUAAAGCGCACGUAGGCGGAUCGAUCAGUCAGGGGCGAAAUCCCAGAGCUCAACUCUGGAACUGCCUUUGAUACUGUCGAUCUGGAGUAUGGAAGAGGCGAGUGGAAUUCCGAGUGUAGAGGUGAAAUUCGUAGAUAUUCGGAGGAACACCAGUGGCGAAGGCGGCUCACUGGUCCAUUACUGACGCUGAGGUGCGAAAGCGUGGGGAGCAAACAGGAUUAGAUACCCCUGUAGUCCCUGUCUCUUAUAC